rnacentral:rRNA from 1 species
AUUGAACGCUGGCGGCAGGCCUUACACAUGCAAGUCGAGCGUGAAAGCCCUUCGGGGUGAGUAGAGCGGCGGACGGGUAAGUAACGCGUAGGAAUCUACCGAGUAGUGGGGGACAACAUGUGGAAACGCAUGCUAAUACCGCAUAAGCCCUACGGGGGAAAGCGGGGGAUCUUCGGACCUCGCGCUAUUUGAUGAGCCUGCGUAAGAUUAGCUAGUUGGUGAGGUAAUGGCUCACCAAGGCGACGAUCUUUAGCUGGUCUGAGAGGAUGAUCAGCCACACUGGGACGUGAGACACGGCCCAGACUCCUACGGGAGGCAGCAGUGGGGAAUAUUGCACAAUGGGCGCAAGCCUGAUGCAGCCAUGCCGCGUGUGUGAAGAAGGCUCUAGGGUUGUAAAGCACUUUCAAGUGGGGAGGAAAAGUUGGUAGUUAAUAGUUGCCAACCGUGACGUUACCCACAGAAGAAGGACCGGCUAAC